rnacentral:rRNA from 1 species
UCUUAUGUACAUGCCUACAACAUAGCGUUAAUGCACCAGAUCCGAUUAGAACUCUGCAAGUUAAGUGCGCUCAGGCUAGAGUAGUACUGGGAUGGGUGACCGCCCAUGCCUAUAGCAUUUUAUAAACU